CUCCAGCAUCUGUAGCCGAUCUUGUCCAUGGUCUUCUCAUCUGCACUCGCCCUCUGCUCGCCUGAUACUUUGCCCGACUGUUCACAGAGAGAUUAGAUCCCAACCCGCAAGAGCUGAGUCCAUAUCCUCUGCUCACCCCAACGACAGAGAGGAGUAUGCACAGGUCUGCACCCGUCUUAUGCUUCUCCACCGUGGCAGGAGAAAAUGUGGCCUGCCCUCCCUCCUCCUGUCAAAAGUCAAGUCUGAGAUAAGACUUGGAUAUAAAGGAAUCCAGAAUACAGUUUUGAACUAUAGACACUUAAAAAGUAGCGGCAGCAGCGAAGAAACACACGCAACCCCCCCAGCAGGUGGAAGGAGGGUGUGCUGACUCCCCCUCCCUUUCUUUGGAGAAGGACACCCCCUCCCAGGCCCCUGGAAGGUGCCUUGGAGGAGGUGCCAGGAGGGGAUGAAUGACAUUCUUGUCUUCAAGGACAGGGAGUCGAGCAUGAGCAGGAGAAUUCUGGACAGAUGGAUCUUGUUUAAAAAAGAAAAGAAAAAAGAAAAGAGAAGAAAAGAAAUCCGUAUGUGCCUUUAGCCUCCCCACAUAGUUGAGUUCCUCUCCCACAAUCUCUUCUCCUUGUUCACCCCAACGGACAAGCAGUGAGUGGUCUGCGAGGCAGACAAAAUGGACCAUCUUAAGCAGUUUUUGUGGACAAAUCACAGCAGUUAUUGGUGCCCAUCCUGAAUAAUCAAGUUUGGAUUUCACAAAUGUGCAGUAAUUCCAUACUUUCCUGCAGCAUGCCUGAGUGUAUAAACUGUAAUAAGGGAUUAUUCAAGGUAACAAACGAUUGUUGUUUAUUAAGGACAAAAUAAGCCUCUUGAUUUGUGUACUUGCUAAUAAUAGUUCUGCUUGACUUUAAUGCAAACACUGUAAAAUAGACAAAUUCUCAGGAUUCUCUGUUAAAAUUUAGAUGUUUAGGCUAGCUAAAGCAUUCGGCUAUGCUUUUAUAUUUUUAAUGUCUCUGAGAAUGACUCAGAGUUUAGUGGUUAGAAUCACACUCUUAACACAGGCUCUCUUGCAUAGCAACAAUGAAAACAGAUCCAAGUUAGUGGCUCUCUUCCACUAAUAGUUAACUAAAGCAAAGACUACAGGUUUCAUAUCAUAAUUAGGGCAUGCUUUAAAGAAAAUCAUUGUAUUGCUGAUAAACCUUAAUAGCGUGACCAGUAAGGAGCUGCCUAAUAAAUAAAUCUGUGGGAAUCCCUGGUGUCUCUCGUGAAUAAAUAAAUAAAAUCUUUAAAAAAAAAUCUGUUAUUGUUUAACACAUAGAGAUAGCUCUUAGGCAUUGGAGCACUCCACGAUGAUGUAAAAAGUUCCUCUGAUGUAUCCUUCAUACCAUAGUGUAACAUCACAUUUUGUGCAAAAGUCCGUGUUUAUACCAACAUUCUAUGGAGCAAUCUAUGGACUAAGCUUCAGCUUAAACACAUCUUUGUGGAGGUCAUUAGACUGUUAACUGUUAGUUUAAUUUGAAUAUACCUUGCUUUUUAAAAACCAUAUUCUCUUUAAUUGCCGGGCAUACUAAACACGAAAUUCUUCAUUUGUGCAUGUGUUUAAAAGCAUUUGUUUUUUUCUACACGGGAAUGGCUAUUUAAAGGGGGGAAAAAACCCAAGAUAUUUUCAUGUAGAAAUAAAAAGCCAAAUGCUUUUGUGUCUGAGACUUCUGAAAUAGUUGACCCUGUUCAACAGCUACUCGGUCUUAAAAUUUGAUGUAAUUAGGAUCUCAGUCUCUCAAGACAAUG